AACGAACGCUGGCGGCAUGCCUAACACAUGCAAGUCGAACGAGACCUUCGGGUCUAGUGGCGCACGGGUGCGUAACGCGUGGGAACCUGCCCUUAGGUUCGGAAUAACUCCCCGAAAGGGAUGCUAAUACCGGAUAAUGUCUUCGGACCAAAGAUUUAUCGCCUUUGGAUGGGCCCGCGUUGGAUUAGCUAGUUGGUAGGGUAAAAGCCUACCAAGGCGACGAUCCAUAGCUGGUCUGAGAGGAUGAUCAGCCACACUGGGACUGAGGCACGGCCCAGACUCCUACGGGAGGCAGCAGUGGGGAAUAUUGGACAAUGGGCGAAAGCCUGAUCCAGCAAUGCCGCGUGAGUGAUGAAGGCCUUAGGGUUGUAAAGCUCUUUUACCCGGGAUGAUAAUGACAGUACCGGGAGAAUAAGCUCCGGCUAACUCCGUG
rnacentral:rRNA from 1 species